GGAGACGUCGGUGUGGGAGCGUCCACGCUGCUCAUCCGUGUUUGUACCGCUGCGGUUACGGUUUCGCUCCCGCUCCAGAGAUGAGUUACUGGUCGUACGAGACCGAGCAAGACGGGUCAUACUGGCAGAGGGCACUGUGGGGAAGAAAGAUUCUCACCUUUCCAAACAGGUGUGAAAUGACUGUAUCAGGGAGAGCAUGAGUCCAGCUUGUGAUCUGCCAAGAAUGUAACGCUUCAGUGAGGAUUUGUGUAAUGGAAACUCUCUGCAUGUGCAUUCAAAUUAAUCAGAACAAGACCUUCAACCAUGUCUGGAUGUUUUAGCUUUAAAACACACAUGCAAAAAGAAAGAAUGAAAACAAAUAUUAAUGCAAUAAUAAAAAGAUUAAAAGAUGUCACUAUUUAAAAUCCA